GAUGAAAACGUAGUGAAAUGUGAUAAGUAGUGUGAAUUGCAGAAUUCAGUGAAUCAUCGAAUCUUUGAACGCACAUUGCGCCUUCUAGUAUUCUGGGAGGCAUGCCUGUUUGAGCGUCAUUAAACCUCUCUCAAGUAUGAUUACUUGGAUGUGAAGGAAGAGUACCUUAAACUUAAGGAGUGUUCUCCUUUGAAAUUGAUUAGCAGAUGGUAAUGUUAUUAAAUUCCUGAUGUUGUAAGAAAUAACAGUGGUUUUGUAGACUAUUAUCUAGCUUUAAAUUAUAAUUUUUAUUAUGGUUGACCUCAAAUCAGGUAAGGAUACCCGCUGAACUUAAGCAUAUCAAUAAGCGGAGGA
rnacentral:misc_RNA from 1 species